rnacentral:rRNA from 1 species
AUUGAACGCUGGCGGCAUGCCUUACACAUGCAAGUCGAACGGUAACAGGUCUUCGGAUGCUGAUGAGUGGCGAACGGGUGAGUAAUACAUCGGAACGUGCCCGAUCGUGGGGGAUAACGAAGCGAAAGCUUUGCUAAUACCGCAUACGAUCUGCGGAUGAAAGCGGGGGACCUUCGGGCCUCGCGCGGACGGAGCGGCCGAUGGCAGAUUAGGUAGUUGGUGGGAUAAAAGCCUACCAAGCCGACGAUCUGUAGCUGGUCUGAGAGGAUGAUCAGCCACACUGGGACUGAGACACGGCCCAGACUCCUACGGGAGGCAGCAGUGGGGAAUUUGGACAAUGGGGAAACCCUGAUCCAGCCAUGCCGCGUGCAGGGAUGAAGGCCUUCGGGUUGUAAACUGCUUUUGUACGGAACGAAAAGUACUCUUCCUAAUACGAAGGGUGAUGACGGUACCGUAAGAAUAAGCACCGGCUAACUACGUGCCAGCAGCCGCGGUAAU